AAGGAUCAUUACAGAGUUCAUGCCCUCACGGGUAGAUCUCCCACCCUUGAAUAUUAUACCUUAGUUGCUUUGGCAGGCCGGGGCAACCCCCGGGGCUUCGGCCUUGGUGUGCCUGCCAGAGGAAACAAACUCUGUUUUUAGUGAUGUCUGAGUACUAUAUAAUAGUUAAAACUUUCAACAACGGAUCUCUUGGUUCUGGCAUCGAUGAAGAACGCAGCGAAAUGCGAUAAGUAAUGUGAAUUGCAGAAUUCAGUGAAUCAUCGAAUCUUUGAACGCACAUUGCGCCCCGUGGUAUUCCGCGGGGCAUGCCUGUUCGAGCGUCAUUUCAACCCAUCAAGCUUCGGCUUGGUCUUGGGGCCUGCGAUUCCGCAGCCUCUAAACCCAGUGGCGGUGCCUCCGAGCUCUGAGCGUAGUAAUUCUUCUCGCUAUAGGGUCUCGGUGGUGACUUGCCGGCAACCCCCAAUUUUUUACAGGUUGACCUCGGAUCAGGUAGGGAUACCCGCUGAACUUAAGCAUAUCAAUAAGCGGAGGAAAAGAAACCAACAGGGAUUACCUCAGUAACGGCGAGUGAAGCGGUAACAGCUCAAAUUUGAAAUCUGCCGCAAGGCCGAGUUGUAAUUUGUAGAAGAUGCUUUGGGUAUGGCCCCGGUCUAAGUUCGUUGGAACACGACGUCAUAGAGGGUGAGAAUCCCGUAUGUGACUGGGUGCUUUUGCCUAUGUAAAGCUCUUUCGACGAGUCGAGUUGUUUGGGAAUGCAGCUCAAAAUGGGUGGUAUAUUUCAUCUAAAGCUAAUAUUGGCCAGAGACCGAUAGCGCACAAGUAGAGUGAUCGAAAGAUGAAAAGCACUUUGGAAAGAGAGUUAAACAGUACGUGAAAUUGUUGAAAGGGAAGCGCUUGCAACCAGACUUGCACGCUGUUGAUCAUCCAGGCUUCUGUCUGGUGCACUCGGCAGCGUUCAGGCCAGCAUCGGUUCUGGUGGUGGGAUAAAGGCCUUGGGAAUGUAGCUUCUUUCGGGGAGUGUUAUAGCCCUCGGUGCAAUGCCGCCUAUCGGGACCGAGGACCGCGCUUCGGCUAGGAUGCUGGCGUAAUGGUUGUAAGCGACC
rnacentral:rRNA from 1 species